AACUAGGGAUGCAAAAACAUCGAUGUCACUAUCGAUACUAUCGAUGUUUUUUAAAACAGCGAUGUAUCGAUGCUUUUUUUCGAACAUCGAUGUUAUCACUAAGAGAUACACACGCAAAGCAAGUGUUUGAUACAGGUAAAACAUAUUAGGGCGGUUCCUCUCGGCACAAUGGACAGGUUUCUGCACAUAACAAACCACGUGUCUGCUGCUUCGUCGUCUGCUCCAACGUCCAACGUACAGAAAAACCAGUGGAUUAUUAGUUAAGAUAUAGAUAUCGAUUAGAUAAGUAAGAUAAGUAAGAACUGAACUGAACUGAACUGAACUGAACUGAAGUGAACUGAACUGAAAUAAUGUGAUUCCAUUUUUCUUUAUGAUUUCGUUAAAAUAUGUAUUAAGAUUAUGCUUUUUUAUUUGUUUCUGAAAAUAUUGUUGUUGUUUUGUUUGAAUAAAUAUAAGUUUAUAAUAA